UCUCAGUAGGAGUAGAGAAGACCAGCUCCAUCCAGUUCAUCUUCACCAUCAUCCAUGUUCUCUGUUUCUUUGCUGCUGCUGCUGGCAGCUGCUUCCUGUGCGAACAGUGAACAACUCACCCAGCCAGCCUCUAUGACUGUCCAGCCAGGUCAAGCACUGACCAUCACCUGUCAGGUCACCUAUUCUGUUGUAAGCUACUGGACAGCUUGGAUUCGACAACCUGCAGGGAAAGGACUGGAGUGGAUUGGAAUGAAAUAUACUGGAGGCUCACACCAUAAAGAUUCACUGAAAAACAAGUUCAGCAUCACAGUAGACUCCUCCAGCAGCACAGUGACUCUGACAGCACAGAGUCUGCAGACUGAAGACUCAGCUGUGUAUUACUGUGCCCACUACCACAUUGAUACAAACCAACAGAAGACCUGUACAUAA